GUCUAUUUGGUAGGUAAAUAUAGUCUGACCUGCUCACUGAUAAUUAUUUAAAGAGCCGCGGUAUAUUGACCGUGCAAAGGUAGCAUAAUCAUUAGUUUUUUAAUUGAAAACUUGUAUGAAUGGUUGGACAAAAGAAAGGCUGUCUGUAUUACAAAUAUUGAAUUUAACUUUUAAGUGAAAAGGCUUAAAUAAUUUAAAGGGACGAUAAGACCCUAUAAAACUUUAUAUGUUAGUAAUAUUUAAUUGAAUUAUAAAAAUUUAAUUUUACGUUGUAUUUUAUUGGGGCGAUAAAGGUAUAAUUUGUGUAACUGCUUAAUAAUAAAACAAAUAAUAUUUGAGUAACAUUUGUAAAUGAUCCUUUUUAAAGAUUAAAAGACUAAGUUACUUUAGGGAUAACAGCGUAAUUUCUUUUGAGAGCCCAUAUCGAAAAAGAAGAUUGCGACCUCGAUGUUGAAUUAAAAUAUCUAUUUUAGGGCAGCCCCUAAAUAAGAAGAUCUGUUCGAUCUUUAAAUUUUU
rnacentral:rRNA from 1 species